UUGACGGUACCUGACCAGAAAGCCACGGCUAACUACGUGCCAGCAGCCGCGGUAAUACGUAGGUGGCAAGCGUUAUCCGGAAUUAUUGGGCGUAAAGCGCGCGCAGGCGGUUCCUUAAGUCUGAUGUGAAAGCCCACGGCUCAACCGUGGAGGGUCAUUGGAAACUGGGGAACUUGAGUGCAGGAGAGAAAAGUGGAAUUCCACGUGUAGCGGUGAAAUGCGUAGAGAUGUGGAGGAACACCAGUGGCGAAGGCGGCUUUUUGGCCUGUAACUGACGCUGAGGCGCGAAAGCGUGGGGAGCAAACAGGAUUAGAUACCCUGGUAGUCCACGCCGUAAACGAUGAGUGCUAGGUGUUGGGGGGUUCCACCCUCAGUGCUGACGUUAACACAUUAAGCACUCCGCCUGGGGAGUACGGCCGCAAGGCUGAAACUCAAAGGAAUUGACGGGGGCCCGCACAAGCAGUGGAGCAUGUGGUUUAAUUCGAAGCAACGCGAAGAACCUUACCAGGUCUUGACAUCCUCUGACCACUCUAGAGAUAGAGCUUUCCCCUUCGGGGGACAGAGUGACAGGUGGUGCAUGGUUGUCGUCAGCUCGUGUCGUGAGAUGUUGGGUUAAGUCCCGCAACGAGCGCAACCCUUGAUCUUAGUUGCCAGCAUUCAGUUGGGCACUCUAAGGUGACUGCCGGUGACAAACCGGAGGAAGGUGGGGAUGACGUCAAAUCAUCAUGCCCCUUAUGACCUGGGCUACACACGUGCUACAAUGGGUGGUACAAAGGGUUGCAAAGCCGCGAGGCCGAGCCAAUCCCAAAAAGCCACUCUCAGUUCGGAUUGUAGGCUGCAACUCGCCUACAUGAAGCCGGAAUUGCUAGUAAUCGCGG
rnacentral:rRNA from 1 species